AGACCCAUCACAGGGCACAACUGAGGCUUGUGCGUCGCCCCUCCGCCUCCACUCUGACAAAACGCUCGCGUUUAAACGCAAACCCGUGGCGAUGCUCGAGAGCUACAGCAGGGUGUGGACGAGCCAGAAGCGCCGGCAAAAGCGCGGCAACAGGUGUGCAAACCAAGAGUAAUCCAUUGCAUUAAGUGGAAUUGAACUGUAGAAAACCAAUCUGAGAUCAAAGGCUUACCUUCUUCUGCUCAUACUGGACUGCUGCAAAGGAGUUCACUAUUCCUACAUGCCGUCAAGAAAGGACUAAGGAAAACUGAAAAAAACACAGCAAGUCUUUUAAGGAUUCAUACGGUGUGUGGUACAUAGGACAAGAUCUCCAGGCACACGUAAACUUCCUCCAGUUUUCUGGCUUGAGGCAACAUCAAGUCUACAACCAGCCAGAAUCUCAAAAUGUGUUAUGCAAAGACAGGCUCAGAUGAGCUGCCUUUUUUUCUCUUUCGUUAUGUGGUUGCCUUUUAAUUUUUGUUACCAAGGGGACAAACCAAGAAGAAACGGAUUUAACAACUGUGAAGUGAUGAAUUUUAAAGCUGCAGUUAAUAAUAUUUGAACUCUGAAUCUAAUUUGUAUGCAGGAGGAAUGAAGAAUAAUAAUGCAGUUUCAGAAAAUAAACAAAACGCAGCUAAACAAAAAUCCCUCUCUCUUGAGUUUUGAAAAACAGAUUUCUAAAUGCCCAGGCAACUACACAAACAUGGGAACAUAAAGGGCACAAAAACAUUCAACCGAUUUCAUCUCAUAAACCUGUAUUGUCUUAACAUACACAGAAAGUUCUUGAACUUCCCAAAUGCACAUCUGGUUUGUAAAAUGCUACUCUAGCAGCAGAAAGCUGCUGCUGCAAACAGCAGGAGAGAUGUUUCUACACCUCCCCCUCUCCCUUCAGUGUUUUUCAAUAAGAAAAACUCAACAGGAGAGACAGGAGGGAAGCCAGCAGCAGGAGGACAACCCAGGUAGUCCUUAGGACUGCUCUUUGCAAAAACUAGCUGGAACUGGCUGUACACAAAGUUGUAUCACUAGUUUGCAUACAAUGCCCUACCAUACAUCACAGAGUCCAUCAUCUCGCUCAUGUGGCUACAAGCAGCCUUUCUUUUUCCUCCUUUCAGGUUACUGUGAUUGUUCUCCUUUUCUGAGACCUAAUGCAGGACAACUCACGUGGACUUCACUGCAGGAACAUUGCUGGUCCCUUCAGACAUCUGUGUCUGCAAGGUCACCCUCACUGUAGACAUCUUCUGCAGAUGCUUUUUCUCAUAAUGCCACUGUCCAUUUCUCUGUAGUGAAACAGUUGUUGGACCUAUGUAUUUAAACUAUCCACAGAAAAGUUAUGGAGAAAAAGUUCUCAGCAAAUUUACUCAAGCUGGAGGGAUCAAAAAGCCUUUCUCCAGAUCUGUGUAAGUACCUAGAGAAGACUGCCAGCUUUGUUGCAUCCAACUCAGCCACCUCCACGUCUGCUGCUGACUGGGUCUUCACACCUGGAGAUCCAUUAACAUUACAUUUGUGACGUUGAAUUUACCUAGAUGACUCCAUCUUUGUUUCCUGAUGUACUUCUGGUCUACCCUCAGGUAAGCUCACCUACAAUUAAUAAACCAAAUAUUUUUCCAUCUGCUUUGGAGAACUGUACUCAGACUUGUCUGCUAGAAGGUAUCUUUCUGCCCAGAUACCACAACAACUAAAGGGCAUCCUACUCCACCAAUUUUAAGGAAGAGUUUGGCAUUCAGACAAAUGAACUGAGAUUGCUCUUCAAAGGGAUUUAUACCCACAUUUCUUUCAAAAUUAACCUUGACAAUCCUAGCUAAUGGUAUGCUGAUUGUACACAGCCCCUGCAUUUGACACAAAGACUGUUCCAUCUUACAGUCCUCAUAUAUGGCGUUAAUGACAUUUGAAACCAGAAGUCUUUAACCUAGCUCACUCCAGCAGUGUUCCUGGUCAGAAGAGACUGCAGUCCAAACAAAAAGAGAAAUACAAAUUGAAUCAGGGUCUGCUACACUACAGCUGGAGAGUCUGUUUACUGAACUAUUCUGUUUAUAUGUGAACAUCUCUGCUUUUCAUGAAAAGGAGCAAGGUCUUGAUUCAGGUAUCAAGUAUCCAGAGAAAUUGAUGAUCCAUAAACCUUACAUUAUAGGAAGUGCCUCAGUCCCAGGAGGGAGAAAGAUUUAAAUAGCUCUGUCUAUGUUCUUCCUUGCUAAGUCAGUUUUUGGCCCACCAUCACAUAGUAAGACAACAAAUGCUCUUUGUCUGUAGCUCCGUACUUCCAUGAAGUCCCUGAAAGCAUAUCAAGGAGUAGGCAUCUAAAAUAUUUGCAAGUGCAUACCAUGCUGGACAAUUGCAUUUCCUUUGGAUCCAAGUCCAGAUUUGUUACCUUCUACUUUUUGUUUCAAGAAAACAUCCAGACAGGUCUCUUACUUCAUUUAAGGCUCUGAACUUUGGGACCAUCUUUAUUUGAAUCUUUUUGUAUGAAUUGUAAAGGAAAUGCUCAAAAAUACUUUGUACAGUCAAUUAGUGUAAUAAGACUUACUUUACGUCUGCAGUUUUCUUCAGGAACAGUUUGUUUAUACCCAAUUAUAUAAAAAUUCUUGAUAAAAAUAUCUAUACCAGUUU